UAGCAGAAAUCGGUACCUUGGUCAUUACA
rnacentral:piRNA from 1 species